AUUGAACGCUGGCGGCAGGCCUAACACAUGCAAGUCGAGCGGAGCUGCGGACGGGCGAGUGAUGCCUAGGAAUCUGCCUGGCAUAGGGGGAUAGCGUACGGUAAGGGGCGCUUAUACCGCAUACUUUUAGCUGAGCCUAGGUGGGAUUAGCUAGUUGGUGUGGUAAAGGCCUACCAAGGCGACGAUCCGUAACUGGUCUGAGAGGAUGAUCAGCCACACUGGAACUGAGACACGGUCCAGACUCCUACGGGAGGCAGCAGUAGGGAAUCUUGCGCAAUGGGCGAAAGCCUGACGCAGCCACGCCGCGUGAGUGAAGAAGGUCUUCGGAUUGUAAAGCACUUUAAGUUGGGAAGCGUUACCAACAGAGAAAGCACCGGCUAACUUCGUGCCAGCAGCCGCGGUAAUAC
rnacentral:rRNA from 1 species